UACGUAGGGUGCAAGCGUUAAUCGGAAUUACUGGGCGUAAAGCGUGCGCAGGCGGUUUUGUAAGUCUGACGUGAAAUCCCCGGGCUUAACCUGGGAAUUGCGUUGGAGACUGCAAGGCUGGAGUGUGGCAGAGGGGGGUGGAAUUCCGCGUGUAGCAGUGAAAUGCGUAGAGAUGCGGAGGAACACCGAUGGCGAAGGCAGCCCCCUGGGCUAACACUGACGCUCAGGCACGAAAGCGUGGGGAGCAAACAGG
rnacentral:rRNA from 1 species